rnacentral:rRNA from 1 species
UACGUAGGGACCAAGCGUUGUUCGGAUUUACUGGGCGUAAAGGGCGCGUAGGCGGCAAUUCAAGUCAUCUGUGAAAUCUCCGAGCUUAACUCGGAACGGUCAGAUGAUACUGCUUUGCUAGAGUGCAGAAGGGGCAACCGGAAUUCUUGGUGUAGCGGUGAAAUGCGCAGAUAUCAGGAAGAACACCCGUGGCGAAGGCGGCUCUCUGGUACGUGACUGACGCUGAGACGCGAAAGCGUGGGGAGCAAACAGG